GUAUCACUGUGGUACACUUUUGGUGGAGGAACCAAACUCAUCAUUAACUCUGGCACCAUGGUCAGGCCCUCAGUCUCUCUGCUUCCCCCCUCCUCUGAGCAGCUCUCUGGGGGCUCGGCCACGCUGGCCUGCCUGCUGACCGGCUACUCUCCUCAGGGAGCCGUGGUGAGCUGGCAGGUGGACGGUACGGAGGUGACGGAGGGGGUCCUGAGCAGCUCAGAGGAGGAGAAGAGCGGCCGCUACAGCAGCAGCAGCACCCUGAGCCUGAGCCAGGAGCGCUGGAUGGAAGGAGAGCUGUACUCCUGCAGGGUCCUCCAUCAGGGCCACAGCCAGACCCAGUCCCUCCACAGGAGCCAGUGUAAGGGCUAGAGGGGCCGGCUGAAGCCCAGGACAGGAGCUCUGUGUGGGGUGGAGCAGCUCUGAUCAAUAGCAGUUUGAAUGCUUGUAGAGGAAACUGAAGCUUUGUGUGACAGAGAACAACACUGCUGUAAAGUGUUGGACAACAACAACUUAGAGAGGAAUGUGUGUCGCUCAGCAGCUUCAUGUGAGUGAGCUUAAUAACUGUCAUGUUGAUCACUGAUGUUGUUGCUAAUAAAGAUUUCACUGAUACAUAACUUCA